GAGGCGAGUGCCCGAGCCGACAGCGCCCAGUCCAGCACCGCCGCGCCGCCGCACCGCACCGCACCGCACCGCGGAGCGCCCCGCAGCACCGCGCGGCAGGACCCCGCGGCAGGACCCUGCUGCGCAGCUGGACCCCAGCGCCGCGUCUCAUCGCACCGCGCCCCCUUCUCGCUCCGCAGCCCUGACAGCGUCUCCCACGCUGCGACAGCUCUCAAAACCUACUUUGGGGUUUUAAAACGAAACCGUACACCAUUUCACUGUGGACAUUACACCCUCUUACAGAUAUGGGAGACAUGGGAGACCCACCAAAAAAAAAACGCCUGAUUUCCCUAUGUGUUGGUUGCGGCAAUCAAAUUCACGAUCAGUAUAUUCUGAGGGUUUCUCCGGAUUUGGAAUGGCAUGCAGCGUGUUUGAAGUGUGCAGAGUGUAAUCAGUAUUUGGACGAGACCUGUACGUGCUUUGUUAGGGAUGGCAAAACCUACUGUAAAAGAGAUUAUAUCAGGUUAUACGGCAUCAAGUGCGCCAAGUGCAGCAUCGGCUUCAGCAAGAAUGACUUCGUGAUGCGCGCCCGCGCCAAGGUGUACCACAUCGAGUGUUUCCGCUGCGUGGCCUGCAGCCGUCAGCUCAUCCCCGGCGAUGAAUUCGCGCUGCGGGAAGACGGCCUCUUCUGCCGGGCGGACCACGACGUGGUGGAGCGGGCCAGCCUGGGAGCCGGGGACCCCCUCAGCCCCUUGCACCCGGCCCGGCCGCUGCAGAUGGCAGCAGAACCUAUCUCUGCCAGACAGCCAGCUCUGCGGCCUCAUGUCCACAAGCAGCCUGAGAAGACCACCCGAGUCCGAACUGUCCUCAAUGAAAAACAGCUUCACACCUUGAGGACCUGCUAUGCUGCCAACCCCAGACCUGACGCCCUCAUGAAAGAGCAACUGGUAGAAAUGACUGGCCUCAGUCCGAGGGUCAUCAGGGUUUGGUUUCAAAACAAGCGAUGCAAGGACAAAAAAAGGAGCAUUAUGAUGAAGCAACUUCAGCAGCAGCAACCCAAUGACAAAACUAAUAUCCAAGGGAUGACAGGAACUCCGAUGGUGGCUGCUAGUCCAGAGAGACAUGAUGGUGGUUUACAGGCGAACCCGGUGGAGGUGCAGAGUUACCAGCCACCCUGGAAAGUACUGAGUGACUUCGCAUUGCAGAGUGACAUAGAUCAACCUGCUUUUCAGCAACUACUCAAAUGGGACCAUAUCAACUGCAAUACUUAGGCCCAAGAAGGUGAAUUAAGGACAGAAGUUCAACCUUAACUCAAUUUCCUGGCCUAAGUGUGUUAUAACCAGAUCUUUAAAAUAAUAAGGUUAAUUUUUCAGAAGGAGGACCUGGUUCCAAUUCUACUGGAAGUGAAGUGGCAUCAAUGUCCUCUCAGCUCCCAGACACGCCCAACAGCAUGGUAGCCAGUCCUAUUGAGGCAUGAGGAAAAUUCAUCCAGAGUUCUGAUGUUGUUGUUUCUGCCCUUACCCUCAGCCCUGUUGGAGAGAGUGGGAAAGUGAUCAUGUUUGGACUCCGAAAUUUAGGUGGGAAAAGUAUUUAACAGCCCUGUAAUGAACCUGGUAAGGAACCGCUCCAUGAAACAAACGGAGUCAUGUUUGAAAAGAGAAGGUAAUAUGGUAGCAACACUGUGAAGACAAUCAUGGGAUCUUACUAGAAUAAAUGCUAAAACAAACAAAAAACCACCACGCUACUCAAUGAUCUUGAGGAGGAUCGAAAAGACAUUUUCAAAAUAUAGGGGAUAUGUACUCAUGAAUCUUUAAAAAAAAAAAAAAAUAUUUACAUUUGACUGCACAUCUUAGAGAGAAACCAAGAUAGAGGGACUUUCUCCUAACCCGAAUGGUGCUGUUUCUAUAUUGGUCAUUGCCUUGCCAAAAGGAGCUCCGGUAGGUUUUCCAUCAUCAAGAAAGAGACGAUUUAGCCCCGCGCUGUUGAAAGAUUCAUUGCAGGAAGGUGGAGCUGCGUUGGUUUGCGAUGUUGUUUUUAGUUGACUCUUAACAAGGGGUUGUUUCCUGGGUCUCUUAUAGCAUGUACUGUAGCGGGGUUUUGGUUUGUGUUUGGUUGAGAUCCACCCUCUAUCAAGUCUGAAGUAAUUAAGAAAUAGGUUUUUGAAUUACUCUUUAAAAACCAUUUAUAAAAGCAUUGCAACAAGGUAUACCUCUAUUUUGCCACAAAGCGUCUCGGGAUUGUGUUUGAAAUGUGUCUGUCCAAGAACCUUCCCCUCCCCCAAAGAUGUGUAUAGUCAUCGGUUAGAACGACUGUUUUCUCUCUCUUUCUUUCUCUCUCUCUCUAUCUCUCUCUUUCUCUCAAUAAAGAGGAAAAAAAAAAAAAAAAAGUAAAAAAAAAAAGUAAAAAGGAAAAGGAAAAAAACACCACCCUUUUUGUUUGCUCUUGCAUUGCAAAAUUAUAAAGUAAUUUAUUAUUUAUUAUUGGAAGACUUGCCACUUUUCAUGUCAUUUGACUCUAUUUUUUUUUUGUUUGCUGAAGUAAAAAAAAAAAAAAAAAAAAAGGAAAAAAAAAAAAAAAAAGAUUGUACCGUGGUCUUUGAAUUAUAUGUCUUAUUCUAUGUGGUUUUUGUCUUUUUUUCCUUAAAUAUUAUGUGAAAUAAAAGCGCCAUAUGUAGAAUUAUUAUAUCUUCAGGACUAUUUCACUAAAUAAGCGUUUGGAAUAGAGAAAAUAAUAAUAGUAAUAAUAAUAAUAAUAAUAAUAAUAAUAAAUAAUGAACAAAGUUCCCUCUUUUAAAUAUUUACAAAUUAGCAGCUAAAAUACCUGACAUAAAAUAUUGCAUGCAAAGCAGGUCGUUAGUGAAAACAAGGAGUGUGAUAUUUUAUUGCAAAUAUUAACGACCGGCUUGUAAAUUUCCGUUUCAACAACUGUAUCAGGGCUAGUUGGAUGCCUUAGCUUUCAAUCGAUAACAUUAGAAGCUCUCUUGUUCCCUUCCCUCCCCCUUAUCCCUUGCCCUUAAAAGUGUUAUUACUCUAGGCAUGGUCUGACAUAACUUUAAGACAUCGAAAGAACUGAGAGCUCAGGCUUUUGGCUGAGUUCCAUUAUUUUUUAAAAAAUAUUAAAAAAUUAGUGCUGUAUACCAAAGCCUCGUCGUUGAGAUUGUUGAAGUGACCUGUAUUUUAAGUAUAAGCUCCUGAUAAAAGGGACGCUUUUUGCUUAACACGUCAAGUAUGACCAUUAUUUAUCAGUGUCUGCUGUCAAAACGCUUGAAAAAAAUGCUGCAGAAGAAAUAGGAUUCGGGGAUAUUGCUAUGAAAUUGCACGAUCGGUGUUCCUUCUUCUCUGUCGACUUCCCUCUCUUCACUCCCUCUUUUCUUCCUUUUUUAAUUUGUGGGGGAGAGGGUGGUGAAGGCUAAAAACAUGGGCGAGUUCUUGGGGAAAUGUGAAAAAGAAGAAGGAAAAAAAAAUAACAAGACAUUGGAAAGGGUUGUUUUUGCUCGAAUCCAAGUGUUCCCUAGUGCUCCUGGCCAGCGUGAGACGACUCGCCCUAAAAAAUCCUUAACAACUGGAAUAUACAGAGAUUUUUAGGCUGACAAGGACAAGUUGGUUUGCAUGGUAGUUACUCCAAAACCUGAUGUUUUCUAAACAUAACCUUUUUCUUCCCUCCUCCCCAUUUCAGCUCUCCCUGAGCAAGCUCAGCUAUAGAGACAAACCAUUUCGACAGUAGAAAGAAAACAAUAAUAAUAAUAAUAAUAAUAAUAAUAGAGGUUAAAAGCCUAACACAAGGAUUUCAAUCAUCCUGAUUAGAAACUGGAUUCAUUUUGUAUGCUCAAGUGUAAUACAUUUUUGAGUACUUGAUAAAUAUUUAAAUAAAUAUGAAAUCUACCUUAAA